rnacentral:lncRNA from 1 species
CAGACCGUUGCUUGGUGAGGUGGAAAGAAGUGGUAAGAGAAAUAGAAACAAACUACCAAUUUUUUUUUUUUUCUAUGUCAGCAAACUCAGAAUGCAAUUCCCCUGGAACUCAUCUCCAGAGACAAAGUAGACUCCGGUGAAGUGGAGCAAGUCUGCAGGAUUGAAGCUCAGAUAACUCAUCUGCCCACCUCCGAGCUCCCUAAGAGCACACAUGUGGAGAUAAUUGAACCUCUCCAGGGCCCAUGCUCUACGGAGGCAGAGAGUGAAGGCGUGGAGCGUUGUCUCGGCAGCCCGACGCCAUCUGGGGAAUAUAUGCUGAUGUUGCUACAGAUGGCAUGCUGUUCAGUUCACCCCUUGUAAGUUCACAUUCAUUGUUCUCCGUCUGGUUUUCAAAGAUUCAAAAAUUAGUUGAC